rnacentral:rRNA from 1 species
GAUGAAUGCUGGCGGCGUGCCUAAUACAUGCAAGUCGAGCGAACGGACGAGCUGCUUGCUCCUCUGAUGUUCGCGGCGCACGGGUGAGUAACACGUGGCUACCCUAUCUAUUCGACUGGGAUAACUUCGGGAAACCGGUGCUAACACCGGAUGCUAUUUUCAACCGCACGGCUCAAAAGUGAAUGACGCUCUUGCUGUCACUUAUAGAUGAAUCCGCGCUGCAUUAGCUAGUUGGUAAGGUAACGGCUUAUCAAGGCAACGAUGCAUAGAUGAGCUGAGAGCGUGAUCGGCCACACGGGAACAGAGACACAGUCGAGACUCCGGCGGUAGGCAGCAGUAGAGAAUCUUCCGCGAUGGACGAGAGCCUGACGGAGCAACACCGCGGGAGGGAUGAAGGUCUUCGGAUCGGAGAACGCUGUUAGUAGGGAAGUACAUAUGUGUAAGUAACUGUGCACAUCUUGACGGUACCUAAUCAGAAAGCCACGGCUAACUACGUG